rnacentral:rRNA from 1 species
CCUACGGGUGGCAGCAGUGGGGAAUAUUGGACAAUGGGGGGAACCCUGAUCCAGCGACGCCGCGUGAGUGAAGAAGUAUUUCGGUAUGUAAAGCUCUAUCAGCAGGGAAGAAAAUGACGGUACCUGACAAAGAAGCCCCGGCUAACUACGUGACAGCAGCCGCGGGAAUACGUAGGGGGCAAGCGUUAUCCGGAUUUACUGGGUGUGAAGGGAGGGUAGACGGUGCAGCAAGUCUGAUGGGAAAGGUCGGGGACCAACCCCGGGACUGCAUUGGAAACUGUUGAACUGGAGUACAGGAGAGGUAAGCGGAAUUCCUAGUGUAGCGGUGAAAUGCGUAGAUAUUAGGAGGAACACCAGUGGCGAAGGCGGCUUACUGGACUGUAACUGACGUUGAGGCUCGAAAGCGUGGGGAGCAAACAGGAUUAGAUACCCGAGUAGUC